rnacentral:pre_miRNA from 1 species
UUUCUACUCCCUCCGUCCAAAAAUACUUGUCAUCAAAAUGGAUAAAAAGAGAUGUAUCUAAAACUAAAAUACGUCUAGAUACAUUUCCUUUUAUCCAUUUUGAUGACAAGUAUUUCUGGACGGAGGGAGUAUUUU